rnacentral:rRNA from 1 species
UACGUAGGGAGCAAGCGUUGUCCGGAAUCAUUGGGCGUAAAGCGCGCGUAGGCGGCCUCAUAAGUCCGUUGUGAAAGUCAAAGGCUCAACCUUUGAAAGCCGAUGGAUACUGUGAGGCUAGAGUUCGGAAGAGGCGAGUGGAAUUCCUGGUGUAGCGGUGAAAUGCGCAGAUAUCGGGAGGAACACCAAUGGCGAAGGCAGCUCGCUGGGACGGUACUGACGCUGAGACGCGAAAGCGUGGGGAGCAAACGGG